GGGGGGGGUUUGGUAUCUU
rnacentral:rRNA from 1 species